CACGUAGGGUGCGAGCGUUGUCCGGAAUUAUUGGGCGUAAAGAGCUCGUAGGCGGUGUGUCGCGUCGGCCGUGAAAACCUGCAGCUUAACUGUGGGCUUGCGGUCGAUACGGGCAUCACUGGAGUUCGGCAGGGAAGACUGGAAUUCCUGGUGUAGCGGUGAAAUGCGCAGAUAUCAGGAGGAACACCUGCGGCGAAGGCGGGUUGCUGGGCUGAUACUGACGCUGAGGCGCGAAAGCCAGGGGAGCGAACGGG
rnacentral:rRNA from 1 species